AGUAAAAGAGCUUUGUAAAACCAACUAUUCACGGCCUCGUUAGCGCAGGCGUGGGGAGGAGACGGCCAUCGACCAAUCAUCUCACAAUGUUUUGCAUGUUUAAUUAUUCAUAUUGUGUUUCUUUAUAACUGGGCAACCCGGAAGAAUGUGUUGUCUCUUGAUGGUCACAAGAACACACACGUUUUAGUGUGAGGGACCCGGGACCCAGGCGCCUGUAUUAGCUUGCUUUGUCAGGAAUAAACAAUUGGUAAAUUCGGUCUGAUUGA